rnacentral:rRNA from 1 species
CCUACGGGAGGCUGCAGUGGGGAAUAUUGCACAAUGGGCGCAAGCCUGAUGCAGCCAUGCCGCGUGUGUGAAGAAGGCCUUCGGGUUGUAAAGCACUUUCAGCGGGGAGGAAGGCGUUAAGGUUAAUAACCUUGUCGAUUGACGUUACCCGCAGAAGAAGCACCGGCUAACUCCGUGCCAGCAGCCGCGGUAAUACGGAGGGUGCAAGCGUUAAUCGGAAUUACUGGGCGUAAAGCGCACGCAGGCGGUCUGUCAAGUCGGAUGUGAAAUCCCCGGGCUCAACCUGGGAACUGCAUUCGAAACUGGCAGGCUAGAGUCUUGUAGAGGGGGGUAGAAUUCCAGGUGUAGCGGUGAAAUGCGUAGAGAUCUGGAGGAAUACCGGUGGCGAAGGCGGCCCCCUGGACAAAGACUGACGCGCAGGUGCGAAAGCGUGGGGAGCAAACAGGAUUAGAUACCCCGGUAGUC